ensembl:lncRNA
GUAAAUGGAUUUCCAUGUUUUCAAUUGGUUUCACGUUCCUUCUUUGCUCUAGUUUAAUAAGAAACCAAGGUGCUGAACAACUCGCCUUUCACUUCAAUGUCUUUACCAAAGCUGGCAGUAGCUUUAUUACUCUGAGUGUUGAAUUCAGCCCUUAACACCAUCUAGAGUCGGGACAAUAGGGAGCAACUGCUGAAGUGCACUGAACCUGGACCUCUGGUGCUGUACUGCUGAACUGUGGGACUCUGAAAUAAGCAGACCAGAAUUUUAUGUUCUGAUUUGAGAGGUGAAAGAACGGGAAUUACUGUACUAAGCAAUAUGAGAUAACGUUCACUGACUCGAAUAUAGAAUUGUUUCAAACAGGGGUUCAAGUCCUGCUCCUCCUAAUUUUUUUGUUGUUGUUUUUACAAGACAGGAAAGGGACUGUGCCUAAAGCACCGCACAGAUCUUCCUGUUCUCUCUUCCUCUUAAUAUUACAUUUGAGCUGUCACGAGAAUACAUCAACAGCGUUGUCUAAAAUACAAUUACUCAUGUUUUAAAACUGUAAAAUCUCCUUAUACACGCAGAGAUGACUUUCACAGCACACUCACUGCUCAGACAUGCCAUAAAUGCCUUUACAUGGCCUUUAGGGGAAGUUGGUUUACUGUUUCACUAUUUUAUGUUUUCUUACCAGAGCUUACAGUAAAAAAUAUGGUGUUUUUUUAAACAAACAAGCAAAACUUGUGUGUCUUGGCUUUUUAUUUUUUGAAAGGUACAGAAAAGAAUACCAAACAACCACAUAUAAGCAGCAAUUGAUGGAUUGUAGGACGCAUAUGCAAAAUGUCAUUGCCAACGAGCAGUUUAGUUUGUAUGGCAUGCUGUGCAUGUCUCUGAUCUUGACUUAGCAUGCUUGGCUCUGACAAAAAUAAAACCAAGAUAUCCAGUCUGUCAAUCUGUUCUGGUGGAUCACAUCUUUGUGUUGUUGGAAGUUGCAAGAACUUUUCUGAUAGAUUUCAGCAGAACUAAGAAUUACUUGAUUCUAUUGCUGACUUGAUCUCUGCUUUUUGAAACUUUGGACCAGUCUGCGGGUGCGAUGAGUCUUCUGCUUAUUAACACAAGUAUGAAAAAUAGCUCAUGUUCAAGAUCACAGCAUGCAUAGGAGUCCAAACCAUCUUGAGAUAUUGGACAAAGGAAUUAGAGGUCAGCUGGGCAGAAAAAUGUCAGAAAGUGGAGCUCCAUGAGCUGUCGGCAUCCCAGGGGCAGAGCAGAGGCAGAUUUUGGCUGUGAAGUUGACCCAGCCAAUGCCACGCAGGACAAGGUGGCAUUGAGAAGGUCCACAGCAGCAGCAUGUGUGCUGGAGGGGAACCACAAGCCGUGAAGGAUAGGGCAAAAGUGCCCGCUUCAUAAAUACACAUAAACAAACAAAACAGCUCACCAGCAGACAAGCUUAGCUGGGGAGCUUUGUGCAAGGCAAUGCAAGAGGAGGCACGCAGCUCGAGCGCUGGGUCAGGAGGAAUGAGCCUAAGUCACCGGUGUCUCACAUCUCCUCUCUUGCUUUACUGAUGGAGAGUAACAUGCAGCUCUUGUCUAUUUGCCCUCAGCAAGCUUGCCUGCCUUGCCCUCUUCUGUGCUCUGAAACCCAGAAAUUCCACACAGAUGGUAUUUUUUAAGAAGGUGUUUCUAAUAGCGAUGAUUUGGAAGGGAAUGCUGAGCCUUCUUGAAAUAUGGAGGAGACAUUGACGAGACCACUGUGUUUUCUGUUUGCGUGUGAAUGACAGAUGCUAUUCACGUCAAACAGAGGAUGCAUAAAGUCAUGGUGAUUGUAAAGACAUGGUGGGCAUAUUUCUGCACUGCAAAACUCAGGAACACGGCCUGCCAGGUAGUUCAUCCCCACGUGCUGGAGGAGCCGUGCCCUUUGGUUGUUCAUCAUCAAUAGGACUGAAAGCCUCUUGGAAAAAAAAGAGAGUCAAUGACCUCUAUAGCAUCACGUCAAACUUCUAGACUGCUGAUCAUCACUGUGUCAGUCCUUCAUUUUAGAGAAGUUUCUCUUUUACAGUACUAGCGCGGGGUUCUGGUGACAGCAUUUGGAGAAGGAAUGGUGAGCUCAAGUGUGAAAAGUGAAUGCAAAAGGCUGUGGAAAGAUGUAUCCACCUGGUUUUACUGAAGAAAACAAUACAGCUCUCCAAGUGCUGGUGAAGCCCUUUCGUUGCUUUCUGCGUGGUUCAGCUCCUGCUUCCCUCUGAUUUUGUUAGUGUUUGGCCGAAUCCCAAUUCCUUUUGAAGAUGAUUAAUUGCAGAACAGCUUAUCCUUAUUAGUGGUACUCAGACCCAACUGAAUUUACCACAGAAGUAAUUACCAGGGUCUUGGUGAUGGGUUUCCUAUUGAAAACGCUUGGGUUGACUGCAGGAGGAGCUGGGAACCAGGGUUUCCCAUGGCUUUGGACAGCUGGGAAACACAUUUCAGCCACAAAAGCACUCAGGGACCUCUAGCCCUCGCAUCCACAUCCAAUGUCCUGUCCCCACCAUCACAGGCCCUGUGCCGAGGAUCACGUGGCACCGUGAUGGGAUCACACGUUUACCAAAGCCACUCUUGUCACCGUAUGGCAACACAAUGUUUCUCCCUGCCUCUAGAAGCUGAGAAUUGGAAGAGGUCAUGAACAUCAACAAAUAUUGUCCAGAUUUUCUUCAGGUCACUUUGUUGCUAAGGGAGUUUGACACUGCCAUGAUGAGCACUGCAGGAAUUCAGAAUGCACCAGCAUGAAUUGUAGAAUCAUAUACUACUUUGGGUUGGAGGGGACCUUUAAGAUCAUCAUCCAAUCCUCCUGCUAUAGGCAGGGACACCUCCCUCUAGACCAAGCUGCUCAAAGCUCCAUCCAGCCUGGCCUUGAAUGCUUCCGGGGAGGGGGCAUCCACAGCCUCUCUGGGCAACCUGUUCCAGUGUCUCACUACCCUCACAAUAAAGAAUUUCUUUCUGAUAUCUAGUCUAGAUCUACCCUCUUCUGCUUUAAAGCCAUUUCCCCUCGUGCUUUUGAAGGAGAAGCAUUUUUAUGGGUAACCACACACUUUACUUUAGGAAGUAUUUACACAGCUGUGACCUUUUUGAACGAUCAGCUCCCCUGGUGUUUGGGAGCAGUGUCAUCUUCAAAUGGCAUGGCUAGACCUAGAGGUUGCCUGCUUGAGGGCCCUGCCCACCCGUGAUCUUCUCCCCCUCUCCCUCUACCUCUUAAGUUCUUUACAAGGAGAGUGGUGAGGUGCUGGAACGGGCUGCCCAGAGAGGCUGUGGAUGCCCCGUCCCUGGAGGUGUUCAAGGCCACAUUGGAUGGGGCCCUGGGCAACCUGGUCUAGUAAAUGGGGAGGUUCGUGGCCCUGCUAGCAGGGGGGUUGGAGAUUCAUGAUCCUUGAGGUCCCUUCCAACCCAGGCCAUUCUGUGAUUCUGUGAUUCUGUGUGAUUCUGUGAUACGUGGAGUAUCCCACCCCCCUAUGCCCCUGUCUCACCCCAGCUCCUCUCCUUGUCCCGGCGACUCCCAGCCCUCACUGCUUACCACCUCCCUUCCUCUUCUACAGAUCCACUGCUGAAAAAGAGACAUAAAUCCAAAAACAUCACUGGUGCCUCAUGUGCAAACACUUUAACAUUAAGCUGACACAGUCCUGUUGUUCAGCAAGAGUAAUUACCUGACUCUGCCUUCUGCAUUGCUAAAUCACAGCAAACUGAUUAAAGCUGCAUGCUAGCGUCUGCUAUGACUCUCAAAUGAGAAGAAAUAGCAGCACGUCCUGGACCUGAUUCAACAGGGACAACAUAUUAUUGUUGAGAAUAGUCCAAGCCCUUUCCAAAAGUCGCAGGGCACGUUUCCCUCAUAUCAGUAAAACUUCCUUGACCAAAAGGGGUGGGACCAUGCUGUGAGCAGCCCUUUCAGAGACCUGAAACCUUCCUGUAAUACUUAUCGGCCUUUCAGUAUUAAAAGGGAAUUUAUAAACAUGAGGGAAAACAACUUUUGACACAGGUAGACAGGGAUGGGUGAAGGGAGAAUGGUUUUAAACUAAAGGAGGAAAGAUUUAGAGUAGACACCAGGGGGAUGUUCUUCACAGAGGGAGUGGUGAGGUGCUGGAACAGGCUGCUCAGAGAGGCUGUGGAUGCCCUGUCCCUGGAGGUGUUUAAGGCCAGGUUGGAUGGGGCCCUGGGCAAUCUUAUCUAGUACUUGGUCUAGCAGCUGGCAGCCCUGCCUGUGACAGGGGUAUUGGAACUUGAUGAUCCUUGAGGCCCUUCCAACCCAAGCCAUUCUAUGGUUCUGUGAGUCUAUGAAACUUUGACUCUGCUGGAAAUAAAUAAAUAAAUAAAUAACUAUCCACAUGAAGAAUUAUCAAGACACUUCAAAAUGACUGCAGACGCCUAC